CUUCCCGCAGCUCGCGCUCUGAUUGGCUGCAGCCGCUCGGGGGCGUGGCCUCCUCAGGCCCCUCCUCCUGGGCUGGGCCCCCCCAAAAAAGGGGGGGGAGGGGAAGGGGGGGGGAGCAGCCCCGCCACCAAAAUGCGGUAAUUAGCACCCCAAUUAAUUAAUUAACACCCCAAUUAGCUCAUUAGCACCCCAAUUAAUUAAUUACCACCCUAAUCAAUUAAUUAGCACCCCUAAUCAGUUCAUUAGCACCCUUAAUGAGAUAAUUAGCACCCCAUUUAAUUCAUUAGCAUCCCUAAUUAAUUAAUUAGCACCCCAUUUAAUUCAUUAGCAUCCCUAAUUAAUUAAUUAGCACCCCAUUUAAUUCAUCAGCAUCCCUAAUUAAUUAAUUAGCAACCCAAUUAACACCCAAAAAUCCCCAAAAUCAACACAUGAAAUUAAUUAGCAGCCCAAAUCAGCGCUGGGAAUUAAUUAGUGCCCCAAAUUAGCACCCCAAAAUUAAUUAGAACCAAAAAUCAGCACCCAGAACCCCCAGUCAGCACCGGAAGUUAAUUAGCGCCCCAAAUUAGCGCUGGAAAUUAAUUAGCAACCCCCAAAUCAGCAGCCAGCACCCAAAAGUGGGAGCCAAAAUCAAAUCCCAAAUUAAAUCCCAAAUCAAAUCCCAAAUUAAAUCCCAGAAUUCCAAAUUAAAUCCCAAAUUAAAUUCCAAAUUAAAUCCUAAAAUCCCAAAUCAAAUCCCAAAUCAAAUCCCAAAUUAAAUCCCAAAUUAAAUCCCAAAAUUCCAAAUUAAAUCCCAAAAUUCCAAAUCAAAUCCCAAAUUGAAUCCCAAAAUCCCAAAUCAAAUCCCAAAAUUCCAAAUUAAAUUCCAAAUCAAAUCCCAAAUUAAAUUCCAAAUUAAAUCCCAAAAUCCAAAUUAAAUCCCAAAUCAAAUCCCAAAAUCCCAAAUCAAAUCCGGGGAUCAGCACCCAGGGAACGCGACCCCAAAUCCCAGGAAAGGAUUUUUUGGGAGAGUGAGACCCCAAAUCCCGGGAAAAGCUGGGAAUGAGCCCCCAAAUCCCUGCAGGGAUCCCAUCAGGCCGUGCAGGGAAUUCCCAAAAAUUCCCAUCCCAAAUCCCCAAAAAUUCCUGCUCCAAAUCCCCAAAAAUUCCUGCCCAAAUUCCCAAAAAUUCCCGCCCCAAAUUCCCAAAAUUCCUGCUCCAAAUCUCCCAAAAUUCCCGCCCCAAAUUCCCAAAAAUUCCCAUCCCAAAUUCCCAAAAUUCCCACCCCAAAUCCCCCAAAAUUCCUGCUCUAAAUUCCCCCAAUUCCUGCCCAAAAUUCCCAAAAAUUCCUGCUCCAAAUUCCCAAAAAUUCCCACCCCAAAUUCCCAAAAUUCCUGCCCCAAAUUCCCAAAAAUUCCCAUCCCAAAUUCCCAAAAAUUCCCAUCCCAAAUUCCCAAAAUUCCCACCCCAAAUCCCCCAAAAUUCCUGCUCCAAAUUCCCAAAAAUUCCCAUCCCAAAUCCCCAAAAAUUCCCACCCCAAAUCCCCAAAACUCCUGCUCCAAAUUCCCAAAAUUUCCAUCCCAAAUUCCCGAUUUUCACCCCAAAAUUCCCGCCCCAAAUUCCCGAUUUUCACCCCAAAAUUCCCGUCCCAAAUUCCCGACUUUUACCCCAAAUUCCCGCCCCAAAUUCCCGAUUUUCACCCCAAAAUUCCCGUCCCAAGCCCCUCCCCCGUUACCUUUCCGCUUGAUUUGGAUCCCGCUGGGCUCCGGCUCUUCCCGGGAUUCCCGGCCGGACACCGGGAAUUCCUGCCUGGACACUGGGAAUUCCUGUUUGGACCCCGGGAAUUCCUGUUUGGAGCCCGGGAAUUCCCAGCUGGAUGUGGCUGAAUCCCAGCUGGACAUUGGGAAUUCCUGUUUGGAGCCCGGGAAUUCCCGGCCGGACAUUGGGAAUUCCCGGCUGGAUGUGGCUGAAUCCCGGCCGGACCCUGGGAAUUCCUGUUUGGAGCCCGGGAAUUCCCGGCCGGAGCCCGGGAGCGCCGCUCCGGCCAGCGAGGCCGUGGGGGUGACGUCAUCGUCGGGACGGGGAUCCCGGCCCGGCCGGAGCCUCCGGACAAUCAGGAGCCGCAGGGUCUCCACUGGGAACGGAAAACAGGGAAAACAGGGAAAUUCCAGAGGGAAAACCCCGGGAUUGGGAAAUUCCAGGGAAAUUCCAGGGGAAAAAUCCCGGGAUUGGGAAAUUCCAGGGGGAAAAACCCCGGGAUUGGGAAAUUCCAGGGAAAUUCCAAGGGGAAAAAUCCCGGGAUUGGGAAAUUCCAGGGGGAAAAAUCCCGGGAUUGGGAAAUUCCGGGAAAUUCCAGAGGGAAAAAUCCCGGGAUUGGGAAAUUCCAGGGGGAAAACCCCGGGAUUGGGAAAUUCCAGGGAAAUUCCAGGGGGAAAACCCCGGGAUUGGGAAAACAGGGAAAUUCCAGGGGGAAAAACCCCGGGAUUGGGAAAUUCCAGAGGGAAAAAUCCCGGGAUUGGGAAAUUCUGGGAAAUUCCAGAGGGAAAAAUUGGGAAUUUGGGAAUUUGGGAAUUUGGGAAUUCGGGAUUUUGGGAAUUUGGGAUUUUGGGAUUUUGGGAAUCCGGGAUUUUGGGAAUUUGGGAAUUCGGGAAUUUGGGAAUUCGGGAAUUUGGGAUUUUGGGAAUUUGGGAUUUUGGAAAUUUGGGAUUUUGGGAAUUUGGGAAUUUGGGAAUCUGGGAAUUUGGGAAUUUGGGAUUUUGGGAAUUUGGGAAUCCGGGAAUUUGGGAAUUCGGGAAUUUGGGAAUUUGGGAAUUCGGGAUUUGGGGAUUUGGGGAUUUUGGGAAUUUGGGAAUCCGGGAUUUUGGGAAACCGGGAAUUUGGGAAUUUGGGAUUUUGGGAUUUUGGGAAUUUGGAAAUUUGGGAUUUGGGGAAUUCGAGAUUUUGGGAAUUCGAGAUUUUGGGAAUUUGGGAAUCCGGGAUUUUGGGAAUUUGGGAAUUUGGGAUUUUGGGAAUUUGGGAAUUCGGGAAUUUGGGAAUCCGGGAUUUUGGGAAUUUUGGGAAUUCGGGAUUUUGGGAAUCCGGGAUUUUGGGAAUUCGGGAAUCUGGGAAUCCGGGAAUUUGGGAAUUUGGGUUUCCCCAGCUCUCACCGUCCUCCAGCGCCGCCUGGGCCACUCCUCCGGCGCUUCCCGGGGAUUUGGGGAUUCCCGGGAUCCCGGCCCCGCCCGGCUCCGAUG
ensembl:lncRNA